AGUGGGGAAUAUUGCACAAUGGAGGAAACUCUGAUGCAGCAACGCCGCGUGGAGGAUGACGCAUUUCGGUGUGUAAACUCCUUUUAUAUAGGAAGAUAAUGACGGUACUAUAUGAAUAAGCACCGGCUAACUCCGUGCCAGCAGCCGCGGUAAUACGGAGGGUGCAAGCGUUACUCGGAAUCACUGGGCGUACAGCGCAUGCAGGCGGUCUAAUAAGUUGGAAGUGAAAUCCUAUGGCUCAACCAUAGAACUGCUUCCAAAACUGUUAGACUAGAGUCUGGGAGGGGAAGAUGGAAUUAGUAGUGUAGGGGUAAAAUCCGUAGAGAUUACUAGGAAUACCAAAAGCGAAGGCGAUCUUCUGGAACAGUACUGACGCUGAGAUGCGAAAGCGUGGGGAGCAAACAGGAUUAGAUACCCUGGUAGUCCACGCAGUAAACGAUGAAUGUUAGUCGUUGGUAUGCUAGACAUAUCAGUGAUGCAGUUAACACAUUAAACAUUCCGCCUGGGGAGUACGGUCGCAAGAUUAAAACUCAAAGGAAUAGACGGGGACCCGCACAAGUGGUGGAGCAUGUGGUUUAAUUCGAAGAUACGCGAAGAACCUUACCUAGCCUUGACAUAUUAUAGAAUUCAGUAGAGAUACAGAAGUGCCUUCGGGAGCUAUAUUACAGGUGCUGCACGGCUGUCGUCAGCUCGUGUCGUGAGAUGUUGGGUUAAGUCCCGCAACGAGCGCAACCCUCGUCACUAGUUACUAACGGUUAGGCCGAGGACUCUAGUGAGACUGCCUUCGUAAGGAGGAGGAAGGUGAGGACGACGUCAAGUCAUCAUGGCCCUUACGGCUAGGGCAACACACGUGCUACAAUGGUUAGGACAAUGAGAAGCAAUAUCGCGAGGUGGAGCAAAUCUAUAAACCUAAUCUCAGUUCGGAUUGUAGUCUGCAACUCGACUACAUGAAGCUGGAAUCACUAGUAAUCGUAGAUCAGCUAUGCUACGGUGAAUACGU
rnacentral:rRNA from 1 species